UUUAAUUGAAGAGUUUGAUCAUGGCUCAGAUUGAACGCUGGCGGCAGGCCUAACACAUGCAAGUCGAGCGGCAGCACAGAGAAACUUGUUUCUCGGGUGGCGAGCGGCGGACGGGUGAGUAAUGCCUGGGAAAUUGCCCUGAUGUGGGGGAUAACCAUUGGAAACGAUGGCUAAUACCGCAUGAUAGCUUCGGCUCAAAGAGGGGGACCUUCGGGCCUCUCGCGUCAGGAUAUGCCCAGGUGGGAUUAGCUAGUUGGUGAGGUAAGGGCUCACCAAGGCGACGAUCCCUAGCUGGUCUGAGAGGAUGAUCAGCCACACUGGAACUGAGACACGGUCCAGACUCCUACGGGAGGCAGCAGUGGGAAUAUUGCACAAUGGGCGCAAGCCUGAUGCAGCCAUGCCGCGUGUGUGUGAAGAAGGCCUUCGGGUUGUAAAGCACUUUCAGUCGUGAGGAAGGUGGUAGUGUUAAUAGCACUAUCAUUGACGUUAGCGACAGAAGAAGCACCGGCUA
rnacentral:rRNA from 1 species